CACGUAGGGCGCAAGCGUUGUCCGGAAUUAUUGGGCGUAAAGAGCUCGUAGGUGGUUUGUUACGUCUGCUGUGAAAUCCUAGGGCUUAACCCUGGGCUUGCAGUCGGAUACGGGCAGACUAGAGGUAGGUAGGGGAGAAUGGAAUUCCUGGUGUAGCGGUGAAAUGCGCAGAUAUCAGGAGGAACACCGGUGGCGAAGGCGGUUCUCUGGGCCUUACCUGACACUGAGGAGCGAAAGCGUGGGGAGCAAACAGG
rnacentral:rRNA from 1 species